UCUGGGAAUAACCGUGGGCCGCCUUCACGGCCAAGGGGUGUGAUGCGUGGUACUACAAGCGCUAACGGGAGAAGGCUGGCAAAUCUGACUAAAGUGAAAAAAAAAAAGAAAAAGACUUCUCAGAGAAACAAGCCGCAGGCCCGGAGGAGACGUCCGAGAGGCGUGUGGUGGCUGGAAAGCUUGUGUCCGGGAGGCCCAAGGACUCCUGGAGAAAAGCACAGACAUCCCGGUGGGAAGUGGGCAGAAGAGUUGGGCAAGUGCUUUAAAACGGAGGAAUCCAGGUGUCCGGUCAACACAGAAGGCGCUCGGGCGCAGUGCUAACCCGGGGACGCGUUAAAACCACAGGGACUGGCUUAGGCUGGUUGGAUUUUAGACACACUGCACCCGCGGGCUUGGCGGAAAUGAGACACUCUGACCUGCGCCGUGGGUGGACCGCGGGGAUCCUCUGACGCUGGCGGCGGCGUAGGCCGUGCGCCCACUCUGGGCGGUUGAGGGUCGUGAAGCAGAGGUGAAGGUGCGUGUACUUGCGAUCUAACAAUUCCGCUCUGUGGUAUUUACUCUAGAGAAAACCUGGCUCAAGGACACCCGGAGAAGCUACAGGAAUAUUCCUGGCGGCGUCGUUAAUAAGGACGAAGUCUGGAAACCCCCCCGAGUGUCUAAGGCGACGAUACUUCAGUGAAUUGUGGUAGACCGUGCAGCAGCACAGCUACCCAACAGCAGUGGGUGGCAUACGGCAACCAGGACGAACGGACUGUUGCGGUGGCCAAGACGUUCGUUCGUUUUUCCCGGUUUCUGUGGUCCCCAAGGUCCAUACACUUGGCCUGCUCCCCUGGCUGUAGAAGAAGAGGGGGCUCCUGCUGUCUCCCCCAGCUCCGUCUGCUGUGCUGCCUGCCAGGUGGAGUGAAGGCCACAUGGGACCAUCAAAGCCCUUUCCAUCAUCUUAGAUCCUGACCUUCCCAUGAAACCUGCCCAGGAGGAGGGGGCGACACCAAGAAGAAGGAGAAAAGCUGGUGGAGCAAAUGCUAAGACCUGCAGGUGUGGAGACCCUGAGUCCCGGCUGGGAGCCCAAGGAUGCAGGCAGGGUCCCAGCGAGGGCGGCUCAAGACGCCUUCCCUUGGCAUCCUUGUCAUUGUAGCUCAGGAACUGUCCAAGAGCACACAAGGCAGGUCCAAACCCGGACCUAAUGCAGGACUCACCCCGCGGGGCACCCACAGGCCCUCAGCGAGGAGCGUGUGCUCCACGGAAGGCUGUACCAUGCUUGCCAGGACUGGAGAGGCUGCCUGGAAACACUUUUUUUCCUGCCUUUAGAAAUUUGCUUGCACUUUCUAGAAAAUAUCCAUUAUAUAUAUAUAUAUUUUAUAUGUAAAAAUAUAAAUACACACACAUAUUCAGAUGUCUCCCUUGAAACUGUGAUGCCCCCACGUUAACAUUCUCAUCUUAAACAGAGAGCACUUGGCUUGGGGGUAGAGCUACCUGUAUGCUAAAUCAGCAGCUGUGGAUUGUCUCGCCCCUUAGGUUUCAGAUCUGCCUGGCUCUGUGAUGCACGAGGCUCCCCUGGGCUUUGAUGUCAGAAGAACUUGAGGUGCCCUGUCCCUCCCUCGGGUCCCCACACCCUGGAGCCUCAGCUCCUCCAUCUCUGCUUACCUGGCACGAGAUGCAAAGUGCCCGGAGCAGCUUGGCGCCAGUGGACAGAAACUCCUUUAAGCAGCUUCCAGCCUUGGAGGACCCGACAGAUCCAACUUUUUCAGUUUUACACUCAAUGUGCAAGUAUAACAUGAGUCGUCUUCAUUUAUCACCCAAGUGAGAAAACAUGGGUCUUUUAAAAACCUACCAAAUGUAAACUUUUCCUAAGACCUCAUCUAUACAAAGAAGUAACUACUAGUUGGACUGAACUUUCAAGACCUUUCUCUAUGCUUACUUAUUUCCUGAAAUGUUUUUUUAUUAAAAUAACGUGUAUUGCACAAAAUUCAGAAGAAAAUAUCAAAGUGAAAGAAGAAAUUUUUUAAAUUAUCCAUAACCCUGUGAGGUAGAGUGAUAACAACUAUGAAUAUUUUGGUGUUUUUCAUUCAUUUUGUGUAGAUACACAUGUAUAUAAAUAAAUACGUGCCAAUGUGGAAUGA